ACAUCUAUACUCUACUACUUUUCCAAAGUAGCGAUCUAUGUUUAGACAACAUAGUAAUGUC
rnacentral:tRNA from 1 species